GAUGAACGCUGGCGGCGUGCCUAAUACAUGCAAGUCGAGCGAACGGACGAGAAGCUUGCUUCUCUGAUGUUAGCGGCGGACGGGUGAGUAACACGUGGAUAACCUACCUAUAAGACUGGGAUAACUUCGGGAAACCGGAGCUAAUACCGGAUAAUAUUUUGAACCGCAUGGUUCAAAAGUAAAAGACGGUCUUGCUGUCACUUAUAGAUGGAUCCGCGCUGCAUUAGCUAGUUGGUAAGGUAACGGCUUACCAAGGCAACGAUGCAUAGCCGACCUGAGAGGGUGAUCGGCCACACUGGAACUGAGACACGGUCCAGACUCCUACGGGAGGCAGCAGUAGGGAAUCUUCCGCAAUGGGCGAAAGCCUGACGGAGCAACGCCGCGUGAGUGAUGAAGGUCUUCGGAUCGUAAAACUCUGUUAUUAGGGAAGAACAUAUGUGUAAGUAACUGUGCACAUCUUGACGGUACCUAAUCAGAAAGCCACGGCUAACUACGUGCCAGCAGCCGCGGUAAUACGUAGGUGGCAAGCGUUAUCCGGAAUUAUUGGGCGUAAAGCGCGCGUAGGCGGUUUUUUAAGUCUGAUGUGAAAGCCCACGGCUCAACCGUGGAGGGUCAUUGGAAACUGGAAAACUUGAGUGCAGAAGAGGAAAGUGGAAUUCCAUGUGUAGCGGUGAAAUGCGCAGAGAUAUGGAGGAACACCAGUGGCGAAGGCGACUUUCUGGUCUGUAACUGACGCUGAUGUGCGAAAGCGUGGGGAUCAAACAGGAUUAGAUACCCUGGUAGUCCACGCCGUAAACGAUGAGUGCUAAGUGUUAGGGGGUUUCCGCCCCUUAGUGCUGCAGCUAACGCAUUAAGCACUCCGCCUGGGGAGUACGACCGCAAGGUUGAAACUCAAAGGAAUUGACGGGGACCCGCACAAGCGGUGGAGCAUGUGGUUUAAUUCGAAGCAACGCGAAGAACCUUACCAAAUCUUGACAUCCUUUGACAACUCUAGAGAUAGAGCCUUCCCCUUCGGGGGACAAAGUGACAGGUGGUGCAUGGUUGUCGUCAGCUCGUGUCGUGAGAUGUUGGGUUAAGUCCCGCAACGAGCGCAACCCUUAAGCUUAGUUGCCAUCAUUAAGUUGGGCACUCUAAGUUGACUGCCGGUGACAAACCGGAGGAAGGUGGGGAUGACGUCAAAUCAUCAUGCCCCUUAUGAUUUGGGCUACACACGUGCUACAAUGGACAAUACAAAGGGCAGCGAAACCGCGAGGUCAAGCAAAUCCCAUAAAGUUGUUCUCAGUUCGGAUUGUAGUCUGCAACUCGACUACAUGAAGCUGGAAUCGCUAGUAAUAGUAGAUCAGCAUGCUACGGAGAAUAAGUUCCCGGG
rnacentral:rRNA from 1 species